AUUGAACGCUGGCGGCAUGCUUUACACAUGCAAGUCGAACGGUAACAGGGUGCUUGCACCGCUGACGAGUGGCGAACGGGUGAGUAAUGCGUCGGAACGUGCCGAGUAGUGGGGGAUAACGCAGCGAAAGUUGUGCUAAUACCGCAUACGUACUGAGGUAGAAAGUGGGGGACCUUCGGGCCUCACGCUAUUCGAGCGGCCGACGUCUGAUUAGCUAGUAGGUGAGGUAAAGGCUCACCUAGGCGACGAUCAGUAGCGGGUCUGAGAGGAUGAUCCGCCACACUGGGACUGAGACACGGCCCAGACUCCUACGGGAGGCAGCAGUGGGGAAUUUUGGACAAUGGGCGAAAGCCUGAUCCAGCCAUGCCGCGUGUCUGAAGAAGGCCUUCGGGUUGUAAAGUACUUUCAGCGGGGAGGAAGGCGGUGAAGUUAAUAGCUUCACCGAUUGACGUUACCCGCAGAAGAAGCACCGGCUAACUCCGUGCCAGCAGCCGCAGUAA
rnacentral:rRNA from 1 species